AGCAGCCGUGGUGUGAGUGCGCAGGAGGUUGACUGUCACAUUCGUUCUCAUCCCUUAACCAUUGAUGUGGUAUGUUGGGGAUCGCGCGGUCGGUGUAAUGCACGCCUUUGGGGAACUGUGUCCUGUUGCCGUUGGGGAGGUGGUGAAGGCAGCCCCAGCAGUGUUAUAAGUCCUCAGGCUGGUGGGGGCUCAUGGGGGUAGCCCAGCGUGGAACCUUGGUGCGUAGAGCUUC